GCUAGCGUAGCUUAAUAUAAAGCAUAAUACUGAAGAUAUUAAAAUGGGCCCUGAAAAGCUCCGCAUGCA
rnacentral:tRNA from 1 species